GCCAGUGUGUCUCAGUGGUUAGAGUGUGGGCCCACACACUGAAGAGUCAUGGGUUCAAUUCCCAGUCAAGGGCA
rfam:Myotis brandtii contig206373, whole genome shotgun sequence.